rnacentral:lncRNA from 1 species
UCUUUUCCAUUUCUCAAAUUUUCGCAUUUUCUUUUUCUUAGCUUCCCAAAGGAAGGGCAAGCUCAAAGGACCCAAAUCUAAUCAAUCCAACUUCUCAUCUGGUAAGAUUUUUUCCCCAAUAGUUGUUUUGAUUAUUCAUUUCUUAAUUUACCUUAUAUAUAUGUGUGUGUGUGUGUGAGAGAUUUUAUAGUGUCGCACUUUCUUAAUUUUUCAUCUAAUUUUUUGUAUUGAAAAAUUGAAGAUAAUGUAUUUGUAAAUUUAAAUUUCAAAAACAGUGUAAAUCAAAUAGUAAAUUAUAUAAAAAUAUAGCAUUUAUGAUAAUUUCACAAAUUCAUGAAUUUGUUACUAAUAAUGAAUUUAAAAAUAUUUUUAGAUUUAGGUCCGUUUGUUUACAUGUAAAAGGUUUUACGGAAAAUAUUUUCUAUAUUUCCUGUGUUUGUUUCACAGAAAACAGCUUGGUCAACGGAAAAUAAUCUUUUUUUCUUGUUAUAUGACUUACCCUUUUGAAAAGCGUAAGUCAUUUUUCGAAAAAGAGCUCCUUAAUAGAUAAUUUUACUUUUAUAUAAAAAUUAACUUAAAUCAAGUUUAAUAUUAUUAUAUUGAUAAUAAAUUUUAUUUUUAUUUUUAAAAAUAUUUAAAAUAUUAAUAUAAAAUAUUAUAUUAGUUUCAGUGCCAUAUACUUAUUGUUAAAAUUUAAUAUAAUAAAUUAUUUAAUAACAUGCAAAUAUUAAUUAAUAAGGAAAAAGGAUUUUAAGCAGUUUAAAGUAUAAAAAAAUAAUUGAAGAGAAAUUUUAAAGUUAAGUUAAAAAUAGAAAUAUAUAAAAUAGUGGUUGAAUUAAAAGUAAAAUAUGAUUCAAAUCUAACUAAUAUAAUAAACAAUAAAAUACUAAUAGGAAAUAAAAACCUGAAAUAAUUUAAAUCAAAUUAAAAUCGAUAUUUAACUAAAAAAAGAUAUCAAACAUUUAAUUAAUGCUAUUAAAAUUAAUACAGAAAAUUGGAACUAAAACAGAAACUAUAAUAUUAAAUUGAAAUAAUAAUAAAAUAUAUGUAUAUUUUAAACCCAAUAUUGUUUAUGCAAUUUAGAUAAUAAUCCUACCCAAGAAAUGAAUUGACUAAACAAUUUGACAAAGAUAAUUACAACAUCAGAUUUGUAGAAUUAUUUGCACUCGCUCUCCCACAUCCUUUCUUAUGAAGAAUGUAAAGCUCUAAAAUCUAUGCAUUCAAAUGUGGUGGAUGACCAACAAAAUCAACAUUUUAAACAUCAAAAUUUAUCCUACUAUCAACUAGUAAUUUAAAUUUAAAUCAUAUGAGUUAUAAGCUAUUUAACUACGUUUUCUUAAACUAUAAGUUUAUCUUUUUUUCCUAAUCACAUGCAAUUUAAAAGAGUCCUAUCGAUUAUGAACCCUUUCAAGCGUCUAUAAAGGCUCUCUUCAAACAUGGAAUCUAAUCAUGUUUUACCUAACAUUCCUACAUUUCUUGCUUAUUUUAAGAUACUAAUUAGAAAAUCAUAAUAUUACAAAUCAAAUUAAUUUGCCAAUUUAACAUAAUCUACAUUAGGUUUGCCGAAACUAAUGUUGCAAUACUAAGUUCAGUCAUACAAUGUUUUAGUCAACACUAUCUAAACUCAUAUUGCAACACUUAGGGCUAGUUUGGAUGGGUGGUGUGUUUACCUCCGGUGAGGUUAAAAACAGCGGUGGCGGUGAGAUUAGUUACUGUAGCGGUGAGUGUAAUACUCCCUACCCGUAUUCGUCGCCGAAAUAGAGUAUGAGGCAUUACCAGAUUUUACCGUAUAAUUUUUUUUAAAUUCAAUAUAACCCCUUUAUAAAUAUCUAAUCUUCCCUGCAAAUUUUAAACCGAGACCAAUCCGACACAACCAAUCCAUUGCAAUAUAUUUUCAAGAUAGAUUUAUCGUAUUCAUAAGAUAAUCUCAUCACAUACCAAAACCAAAAUUUGUUAGCCAUACCAAUGGCUAACUAUACAUUCAUUUCACAUUAACAUCUACUUUAUUAGCUUAUACAUGCCAUUGAUUUCCAAAAUAAAGUUUCUUUAUAUACCGAGAUCUUGAGGUUGAUAGUGUGAUGCGUCUCCGACCAAAUCCGACAUCUGAGCUUUUAACACUACAAAACAGGGGAAAAGGAAACAGGGUAAGCACUUUGUGCUUAGUAAGCUCAUGUAACAAGAAUUAUACUUACCUAAUAUUUUCAAUACAAUUCAAUAAACAUUCAUACAUCCAUUCAAUACAUUAUUCCCCUAUCAUGCACAAACUCAACAUUCAAAUUAGUCCAAUAAUUUCCAUGUAUCAAUAAUUUAUACCAUGAUUGAUGAGCUCAUCAAUUCCAUGAUUUCCAUUUCCUUGUUAUUUUUCAAUAUUUAUCCCGUUGAAUUUCUCGGAAUUUCGAUGGAUUUUCAGAGGUACACUUUAGUGUACAAAUCUGGGUCCGUCAACUCAUAUUCAUGUGCGUACAUUUCCAUUUCAGAGAGCACACUCCCGCGAACCUCAUCCUUACAGCGGGAUUACCAGUCCAGGCUAAAUCCCCUGCAACGACAAUUACUCUAAUGAGCUUGGAUCUGAAUUACCAGUCCAGGCUAAAUUCAGACCCUAAUUCGGAUUACCCGUCCGGGCUAAAUCCAUUUUCCACAUAUUCUUCGGGAGGGCUAUAUCAGGAUAGGAUCACCCGUCCGGGCUAGAUCCUUUUUACCGUCAAUUCCUUUUCAGAGAUCCAUCGAAUUUUCCUUUCAUUCAACCGGGAUUUCUUCCUCUUUUUAUCAAAUAUAUCAAUGUUUUAUCAAUUUUCAUACAAUAAAUAUUCAAAUCAUAUUCACAUCAAUAACAAACAUUUCAAGCAUUUAAGAAUAUAAUUCAAGUUACACGAACUUACCUCGACACUUGUUCGUAAACAAAAAUCUACUAAUCCCGAACUUUUUCUUUUCCUCAAUCUAGCUUCGUAUUUAAAUUUUCUGGAUCUAAAUAAAUAAAUUUAAUCAUUAAUCUAAUACAUUUCAUGUUCAUAUGUAACAUUCUCUAUAAUUCCAUUAUUAUUUAUAGUGCAUUCAAAAUUGUCUCACUGAGUCACAGUCACUAAAUUAUUUAUAUCUUGAGAUACGGAACUCUAAAUUAAGAUCCGUUAAUUUUCCCUGAAACUAUACUCACAUAUACUCUUACCAUAAAAUUUUCAGAAUUUUUGGUUUAUCCAAAAAGUACAGUUUAUUCUUUAAAGCUUCCCCUGUUUCAUUGUUUGACAGUUCCAACCCCUCUUCACUAAAAAUUAAUUAUCUUAUUGUACAGAAUUCGGAUGAUGUUUCCGUUUGUUUCUUAUAAGAAUAGACUCAUUAUGGAUUCUAACCAUAUAAAUUAUAACUCAUAAUAAUUUUUGUACAAUUUUUAAUGAUUUUCCAAAGUCAGAAUAGGGGAACCCGAAUUCAUUCUGACCUUGUCUCGCAAAAUCUAUAAUAUCUCAUGAUUUACAAUUCCAUUGAUUAAACCGUUUCUUCUAUGAAAACUAGACUCAACAAGAUUUAAUUUCAUAUUUUAUUCAUCCUCUAAUUCGAUCUAUACAAUUUUUUGUGAUUUUUCAAAGUUAGACUACUGCUGCUGUUCAAAACUGUUUUAGUGUAUGAUGUUAAUUACCAUUUUUCCCUAAACUUUCAAUAAAUGAUAAUUUCAUCCCUGCUCAAUUAACCCCUCAAUUGAGCUGAUUUUUCUCAAUUAAAACUUUAUCUCAUCACUUUAAACUACUUUAUAAGCUUUGGAAAUCAGAAUUUUAGUACUAGACUUUAAUUCCAAACUUUUUCACAAUUAGGUCUUACAAAUCAAUUUCUAUUGAAAUUACCUAAUAAAAUCAUCUCAUAAACAAAUUAAAGCUUAAAUUUCAUCCUAUUUCAUCAUAACUUCCAGCACAUAUUCAUAGCAACUUUGAAAUUCAUUCAUAAAAUCAAAAACUAAUGAAUUUAGUAAUAGGACCUAGUUGUAAAAGUCUUAGAAACACAAAAAUUACAAGAAAAAGGCAAUGAUUAACUCACUUGGUGCAAAAAUUAUGAAAAACCAGCUUGAAGAAACCCUUAGGACGUGUUUGGCUGAUGAUAAUGCAGAAAAAUAAAGAGAAAUCUAGAUAAUUCCACUUUAGUCCUAACUUUUAAAGCAAAUUUUGCAAUAUUCCAAUUUUACCCUUAAUUCUUCAAUUCUCCUGAUUUUUCUCAGCUUAUGCCGCCCAAAGUAUCUCCUUUUGGGGUUAUUUGCAAUUUAUGUCCCUCCUCAUUUAACAAUUGAGCUAUUUAAUCCUUCUAGUAACUUUUACACCUUUUUCAAUUUAGUCCUUUUCACUUAAUUGACUACCAAAACAUUAAAAUUUUCUAACAAAAUUUUAAUACCAUAUUACUAACACUUCAUAAAUAUUUAUAAAAAUAUUUUUGACUCGGUUUUACGAGAUUGAGGUCUCGAUACCUUAUUUUUACCCAAUUUCUUCAAUAAUUUCUUUCUCUAACUAACCACUAAAUCGGUAAAAUUUUUCUAUCGAUAUUUUCAUACUGUACAGACCAAUUUUUGACCCUGGGCCUAGUACCCAAACUAAACCCACUACCCAAAUUAGGCCCAAUGGUAAAAAAAAACCCUAAGCCCAACAACAACAGCCCAUAAACUAAAAAAUUCAUAGCAAACCCUAACCCCUAACCCUAGCUCCAGCCGCUGCAGCCACCGACCCCAACUGCCGCCACUCCUCUGCCACCUGCUCUCUACCUACUUUCUGCCAUCGCCCAAACUGCUCACCUGCAAAGACAGAAACAAACACGCAAGGCAGAACCAAAUAGUAGCGAACAAUAAUAGAAGCUAUAACAUUGUAUCAAUCUGCUAUAAAAGCAAAAAGAAAAUGUAACUUUAGGGGGGGGAACAAAAAAGUGAAUGAAAAGCAAAAAAAAAAUCAAAAAGAGGUUGAUUCUAGUAUUCUUUUUCUUCUGUUCGUGUGCAUUUUUCUUUGUUUUUUUUAUUUUCUUUAUUAUUUGUUUUUUACUCUAUUAACACAAAAAAAAUAAAACGAAAACGAAAAAGAAAAGGGGUGAGUACCUGCUGGUUUCGAAAGCCGUCGCCGAAGACUUCUUCCGGUAUUGGAAUCGGACCGAAAGGGUACAAAAGACCCCCCUUUUUUUCAGCCUAUCGGGUCUAGAAGACUGUUUUUUCAAGGAUAUCGAGAGCGGGGUUCAAAAGCUUGACUUUUGGGUACCUCCGGCCACCGUCCGCGGCGGAACCGACGGUGGUUUCUCGCCGGAUUCUAGUAAUGCCCAGAGAAGGCAGAGAGGGGGAGGAGGAUUUCUCAUUGUUUUUUUUUAGUUAAAACAGAAAAUGAGGCUAAAAAAAAACUUUUGGUUUAAAUAACCAUUUCAAAACGGCGUCGUUUUGAGGCCAUCCGACCCGCGAUCCGACCCGCUCCGCCAAGGAUCCGCGUGUUUUGUGCGGAAGGGCAAUUUGCGCUUUUAGCCCUUCCGCUUUUUAAUGGUUUUGUAAUCAAGUCUUUUUAUUUUUUUAAUUUUACCCCGGUUUGUUUUUUCGUUUUCAAUUUAGUCCCUACUGGAACUAUGCGUUUUGCAAAAAUGGGAUUAUUUCCCAUUUCCCCCCUCCUAGCUUUUUGCGCGUUCAUUUUGGUCUUUUUCCUUUUUUAUUUAUUUCGAAUUUUCCCUGAAAUUUUGUUUUUAGCUCAAUUUAAUCACUUUUUCAUAUCUUUGUUAUUUUAUCGUUAUUUUUGUUAUUAGUAGCAAUAUUAUUUAUAUUAUUAAUAGUAUUAUUAUUAAUGUCAACAUUACUAUAGAAUUAUUACCUUUAUUACUUUUAUUAUUAUUGUUAUUAUUAUUAUUAUUAUUAUUAUUAUUAUUAUUAUUAUUUGUUUAUGUUUACUUAUUUAAAUAUUCAAGAUAUUUGUCUCAUUAUAUUGUUGUUUGUUUAUUUAUGUCCUUUUUAUUCUUUUUUAUUACAAACUUAGUUAUAUACGUGUAUAUGUACAUGUUUACAUAUAUAUAUAUUUUAUAUAAUAAUUUUAGAAUACAUAUAUUUUUCAUGUUUUUAUAAAUUUACGUACAUACACACGUUUUUAUAACGUGCAUACUUUCAUUUUAUAUAUUUUUGUAUUUUAUAAUCCAUAUACAUAUACAUGUAAAUACUUAUAUUUUCAUAUCUUAUAAUUUAUAUAUAUUUUUAUAUUUUCAUAAUUUUAUGUAUAUACAUACAUAUAUAUUUCCCUUAAAUGUACAUACACGUGUUCAUAUUUUAUAAUUUUCAUCUAUUUUCCUUUAUUGUUUUUUUAUGUUCAUUUAUGUAUUUAUUUAUAAGCCCAUCUUUAUGCUUUAGUUUAUUUAUUUAUUUAUUUGUUAUGGUAUAUGCAUGAUUGAUUUACUUUAUUAUUCGUUUUUUUUGCUCAUUUUUUAUUCGCAUUAUCAUGCCUAUUAUUUCAUUAUGCAUGUUAACAUCAUACUUCAAAAAAGAAAAUUUUUCUAAAUAAGGCAAUAUUUAGCAUUUGGAAAUUCGAGGAAACGUGCCCUAAGGUGCUGGGUGUCGAUUUUCUCGUUCAACCAAAUAGCUAAAUAUCCUUCUAAAAAUUUCAAAAUAAGGCAAUGUUUUGCGUUUGGAAAUUCGAGAAAACAUGCCCUAAGGUGCUGGGUGUCGAUUUUUCUCGUUCAACCAAAUGGCUUAAUAUCCUUUUAAAAAUUUUAAAAUAAGGCAAUGUUUUGCGUUUGGAAAUUCGAGAAAACAUGCCCUAAGGUGUUGUGUGUCGAUUUUUCUGUUCAACCAAAUGGCUUAAUAUCCUUUUAAAAAUUUUAAAAUAAGACAAUGUUUUGUAUUUGGGAAUUUGAGAAAACAUGCCCUAAGGUGCUGGGUGUCGAUUUUUCUCGUUUAACCAAAUUGCCAAAUAUCCUCUUGAAUUUUAAUCCAUGCCAUUCGAGUUUUUUUUAAGGAUCGUAUUUUAAAUUUCUUUAAAGUUUUCAGUUUUUCGACACUAAGACAUUAAGUAAUCAACUAGGUACCAAUUUUGGGCGUAUCGAGGGUGCUAAUCCUUCCUCGUGCAUAACCGACUCCCGAACCCGUUUUUCUGAAUUUCGUGGACCAAACUUGUUGUUUUAAUAAAAUCAAAUCGUUUAUUAAAAACAACCACUUUUCGAGGUGAUCCGAUCACACCUCAUCAAAAAGGAUCGGUGGCGACUCCCAUUUUCGUAUUCAUUUUCCAAUACCCAAGUCGACCCCGUUUUUAUCAAAAAAAUGGUGUCAACACAUACGAUUUUCCUAUCAUACCAAUAUUCAUGCAAAAAUAUUAAAAUAAAUUUCUCUUUAAAUCGGAUUUGUGGUUACGAAACCACUAUUCCGAUAACCUUGAAUUUGGGCCAUUACAGUGAGAUUGGAUACUGUAGUGAUGAGAUUAGAAACAAUGGUGGAGUGUGUGUUUAGAUUCAAACGCAACUGUAGCGGUGAGGUGAGAAUAAAAAAAGACUAUUAAGGACAUCAUAUUAGAAUUGAUAUAUAAUAGAAGUUAUGUGAAUUUAUAAAUUCAUUUAAUAAAAUAUUAAAAUAUGUGAAUUUAUAAAUUCAUUUAAUAAAAUAUUAAAAUAUGUGAAUUUAUAAAUUCAUUUAAUAAAAUAUUAAAAUGUAUCUUCCAAUAUUUUAAUGAAUUAUAUAAUUAAUUUAAAUUAUUUAUUAGAUAAAAUGAUAAUUAUUUUUAAUUUUUUAUAGUAACUCUUUUUCUUUUGCUCUCACCCAAGGGUCCAAGGAGAUGAUUUACUUUCUCCACAAAACAUGGUCAAUUUACUCCCAAGGGCUUUGGCCAAUUCCUCAACUAAUCCCUAUCAAUUUCCAAUCAAUUAAAUUCUUCCUCCUUACAUUUAACAUACCACAUUACUUUCCUCUACGAUUUAAUCCAUAAGCCAUUUCACUAUCGCAAUUCAAUUUAAAUUUUAGAAAUUUUCCGGUUUCAUGUUUAAUUAAUAAAUAAAAGUAUCAUUUAACUUCAUCCCUAAUAUGACACAAAUUACGAUAAAUGGAAAUUUUGGAUUAUAUUAUUUGCUUUUUUUAGUAUUAUUAUUCCUACUAUAUUUUUCUCUCAGGUGUUUUUUUAUUAGAGUAAUGAAAUAUUAGAGUAAGAAUUAUAUGAAAUAGAGAUAUUAUCUAUUUAUUAUAGUUUAAUAUUAUAUUAAUAUUUUUAUCCUGAAUUUUAUGAUUUUUAUUUUUAUUUAAUUUUUUCCAAAAUAAAAAUAUGAUUAAACUCAUCCAUUCCAACUCAUUCUUCUUCAUGUUCUUUUCUUCUCUGAAUACCCGUUCCUGCCUUCUUAUUUUUUCCAGUUUGUGAAACUAAUGCCUAAUAAUUUAAGCCAAAAUUGGGGAAAAAUAUAGACCAAGUAAUAACAUCACUGCUAGAUUAAAUUCAUUCUCUUCUUCAGUGUAAUUUUUGAAACUAGAAUCUGUAUCUUCUUUUAACUUCCUUGAGAAUCCCGAUAUCUUCUUUUCAGCUUUUUCAUCUCACUUUCUUUAAACACAACCCUUUAAAGUCACCUAACACCUUUUCAAUUUGCUGUUAUUUUUAUUUUAGAUUCAAAAUAACAGCCGACCAGCAUGGAUGUAAGUUGUGUUUCUCUUCUUGUUUAAAUCUCUUCUUUAAAGCUAAAUCUAAGGUGGGAUUUUUCUUGUUUUGCCUGUUUAACUAGGAUUAUAAUUGCAAGAGAAGUGGGCAGAUUCCAGCAUUUGGAGACUGGGAUCAUGCAAAUGAAUUUCCCAUAACUCAGUACUUUGAAUCUGCUCGUGAAGCUGGUUUGAUUCGUUUCAACUCUUCAUCAGCAAAACCCAAACCUUAUCUUACUGUUGAUUUGAAAACCAAACAUCCUCGUAAUCAUGUUCCUGUUAGAAAGGUUAGCUAGCUCUUCUUCUUCUUCUAAGAAUCUUGCUGAAUUUGAGAUAAGAGAAUGAAUGGGGUUUGGUAUAAUAUUUAGGGUAUUAUUGUCUUCUAAAAGUGUCUACUGCCCUAUUGGAGCUUUUACCAUUAGUCAGCUUAAGGCUGUUCAGUGCAGUAGAAACUCCUCACUGUGUUGGAAGCCAACACAUCCAAAGGCUGUCCACGGUCCAGUGCAGUGCAGUAAAAUUGAUAAUAAAAGGGAAAAAAUUCAACGCACUGUUGUGCGUUGACAUCCAAAGGAGCCCUUAGUUUAGACAUUCAAUGUUCUAACAAUCUCCACUGUUAGCAUUUAUGAUAAAAUCCCGUAGAAAUUCAAUGUUCUAACAACUCCACUGUUAGCAUUUAUGACAUAAUAAAACUGAAAAAGAAAAAGGAAAAAUAGGUUAAUCAUUAACGUACUCUCCUUAUCAAAAUGCAUAUUUAUUCAUCAAGCAUAGUGAUAAACAUGAAUGUCAAUUACGGAUCAAUUUCAAAAACACAACCAAAAAGUAUGUAGGCAUCCAUCAAAGUUAUUACAACACCAAAACAAAUUCCAAAAUAAGGAAAAUAAACCAAGAGUUUACAAAACUAAACCAAUCAUCUGCUUCUUGCUGCUCAUUUGCUUUCUUACUGGUCUAAUUUCCCUCUAAUUGGAAAACAUGACAAAGAAGAUCCCACUCACCAAGUGGACUUCUCCAAGUCAUAAAGAAAGUUGGCAACAUUCAUCUCACUUUUUGGUAAUGUUCAUCUCACCUCUAAUAGGUAGUUAACUAUCAAUUCAUUAAAUAUCUCAAAUUACAAUUCAUCAUAUUUAAUUAAAUUUUUUUACGAUUUAGUCCAUAUAUAAGCUUUUGUACAAAAUUGAAAACAAUUCAAAUUAUUAUUAAAAAUACAUAAUUUUUUAAUUCAAGUAUAUAACAAUUUAAAUACAAUCAUACUAUAUGAACUUAUCUGGUUAAAUCAACAAACAAGUUGAAUUGCAAAGACUAAUUGAUAAUUGUGCCUUUCCCCGAUUAUCCUUAGUUUGGUUCAAAUAUCAAUCUAUAUAAUAAUUCAAUCCAAUUUAUCAAUUUCAUACAUCCUAUAUCAUCCUAUUAUAUGCAUGUAUCAGUUCAAUUUUAUUAUUUGAAUGUCCUCUAAAGUUUUUCAUUUUAUUCAAUUUAGUUUCUAAAACCGAAUUUGCCAUAACUUUCAAGUUUGAGUUUCAAUUUUGAAAUAUAUAUCAAUUACAUCCUUUUAAGACUCUUUACUAUCAAUAAUUAUAGAAAUUUCACACCAAUUUUGAAAUAUAUACAUUUUAGUCCCUAUGUUCAAAAACUAACAAUUAAACUUUACAAUCUAGUCAUUUUUCAUAUAUAAGCUUAAAAACCUAACAAUUUAAUACUGAUUUCUUCAAGAAUUCAUCAAUGGAAAAUUUUAAAAACUUUAAUAGCUUUACAAAUUAGUACAUGGGCUAGCUAAAUCAAUCUCCCACGACCUCAAAAAAAUAAAAAUUAUAAAAAAAAUGACUUGAAAUCUUACCAAUUUGAGGGACCAAAAGUUAAAAUGCUCAAAGCCCUCAUCUUUCUUUCUCAUUUCGGUGAAGAAGAUGAGUGUGAGGAAGAAAAUGACUUUUGUUUUCUUUUAAUUUUGUCUUAUAUAGUUUAAUUAGUUUAUUAAUUAAUCAAAAUUAACCUAAUUAACCGAAACUAAUUAACCUUAAGUAUAAUUAACACAUUUGGUGGAUUCCAACUAAUAUCCACCACCACCGUUUGACCAUAUACUAAUGGUUCAAUUGCUCAAUUGGUCCUUCCGCUAUUUAAAAAUCUACAGUGAUAAACUUUUAAACUUUACUCCUUGUACCAUAAUUAACUAUCAAUUUGACAAAAUUAAAUGACCAAACUUUAAUUAACCUUUAUACUAACCACGUAAAUAUUAUUAUGCUCAAACAUUGAAAAUGGGAUUCUGAAACUGUCAUUUUCGACACCACUGAAAAUCGAAUUGUUAUAGAUUCUGGAUUCUUGAUGCUUGAAAAUUAGUUUUCCAAAGUUUAAAGGCACCAUCGUAUCUACUUUAAAAAAUAGUCUGUCAAGCUUUUUUUUGACAAUAGAUGAAUGAGCUAUUGAUAACCAUUUCGAAAAAAAAUCUUAUGAAGAGUGUAGUACAACUUACUUAAUAUAAUUGCUUUUAAUACAGGCUCUAUUUAUUCACUUUGUCAAGUUAUUGACUAUUUUGUUAAAAUCAUUAUCAAAUUCUUCAUCUACCCCAUGAGCAUCAAGAAUAUCAUUAACAAGAUUAAUAUUUUAGUUAAACCAAUGCCCCUUGAGUGUAACAUAAGGUUUAACAUAAGUAACAAAUUUCAACAACUCUUAGGUAUACAAGUAAUUUAUAAGGCCAUAAGUCUCAAAGUAAUUAUAGUUAAUAUUUCUUCCCCCUUUUUCUAGCUAAUAUAUCAAGGAAGUGAUGAUGUUUUACUUGAACAAAAUCUUGAUUAGCUUAGAAUGAGUCUCCCUCUUUAUUUUAGAUCCACUGAAAAGUUUUGAUAAUUCCUCCACUAGUUGUUUUCCUUUUUUUUUUGUAACCCUGUGUAUUACAACAAAAGUUUUCUCAAUUUUAAUAGCCUGAGUAAUUCUAAUAAAAUUAGUUUUGAGUCCUUCCACCAGUUUAACACGUUUAAGUUUUAAAAUUCCCUCAAUAUUGAGAGUGCCAUUACCAACUAUCUUACCUUUUUCUCCAUCACCAAAUGUAACUUAACUUGCAUCACAACUUUAUAAGUUUUUCAAGAAACAUCUCUCACUUUUCAUGUGUCAAGAACAACGAUUGUUGAAGUAUCAUAUAUUCUCUGUGAUAACCUUCAAUGAAGUAUAAGAAACCAACAACUAUUUCUCAUUGCUUCUAAUUCACAUCUUCUUAUGCUAAUACUUGUUGAAUUAGUUGUUGCAAUACUGGUCUGAUAUGUCUAAACUUUCUCCAACCAUAAUCAUUUAACAUCUUGUAACAAUGAGGUCUAGUGUGCCUUACCACUUUACUAUGAUGACGAGCGACUUUUCAAGAUCUUUUUUUUUCUUGCAAAAGAGAUAAAUUUCUUACCCAUGUAACAUAGUCCUCUAUGGCCUGAUCUCAUUCUUUUAAAAGUAAAUAUCUCAUUAUAGUUUCACAUUUUGGAUCCCAAAGUUCUUGAAGAUAGCUUUGACAUCAUCCAACUCUUGUUCAAUAGCACUCAAGUUUGCAUAUUUUUUUAGCAAUAAUCUUAUCAUUCUUUUAUGUUAGAAUGUCAAGCUUCAUGGUUUCUCCUUUAACUCUAGUAAUUUCUUUUUGUUAGAUUUCCAUUGAUCUAGCACACAAUCUUUCAUUUCUCUAACAUGAGUUAGUAGGUUUCUUCCAAGUUCUCAAAAGAGUCAUCGUCAUUGUUGGUAGAAGUUUCCUCAGUCACUGUCUUAAUGCUUAUUGCAACAUCAAUGCAACAACGAAAGUGAAUGCCACAUAGUUUCUCAUUUGGUCUUGAUUUGAAUAAGUAUAUUCACUUUUAAAUUAUUCAUCACUCCUAGUCACAACAAAAGACUUCUAUUUCUUCUUAAGAGUGCUGAUGCACUCUAAUUUAAUGUAGCCAUAACAUUAGAAAGCAUUUAUCAAGACAAAAAAUUAAUUAGCAAAUUAUCAUAAAUAGACAAGCAUAAAACUAAAAAAUAGUUUCUUCUCCAUUGAUUUUAAUUCCUUAAAUCUAGUUGUAAGGAUUUGGUGUUUUGACAUGGGAACGAAUACAUUUACUUCAUGUUGGUUCUGGAUAAUUGUUGAGGCAUCCUUGACAUACUCAUACAUGAAAAUUAUCUUGAAUUUCUCCAUAUCUGCACCACUAAAGAUGACAUUGAUGUUGGAAAAAAUGGAUUUAGAAAAUGCAGCGGAAAAUAAAUUUAAGGAAAAACCAGAGUUUUAAAUUUUUUUUCCAAAGCAAGACCUUGGUUGUGAUAUCUAAAGUAAUAAACACUAAAUUAAAAUUGUAUCUUUUUCCAAUUCGUCUAGGAUGAGCGAUUCGACUGAGUAGUCUUCUCCACUAUCCUCAAGUUCAUGUUUGCCGAUGUGGGCACGCUUCGAAUCAGAAAAAAUUACCAGUCGGGUAAUUUUUCAAUUUUUCUACACUUUUAGGUCAAGUUAUAAAUCAAAAAAUUAUCUCUAGAAAUUUUCUAAAAUAAUCUCUUUAGAGAAUUUUCUCUUUACAACUUUCUUUUGAAUUCAAGUGUGUGUAAAAUAAUGACCUAAUGCUAUCUGUAAUCACUGAAUUUUGCCCAGUCAAAAUUUUGGGCCAGGUCGAUCUCGUAUGGGCCCAAUGAUCGGGCCCAUUAAGAUUUAAUUUUGGAAUUGUUUUAGCCCAUUUAAUUUUUGUUUUAAAUAUUAAUAAAAUAGUCAUAAUGAAAUUUUGAAAAAUGAAAAAAAAACAAAACAAAAAAUAAAAAUUACAUUUUGGCCCAUGAACUUUUCUAAAUUACAUUUCAAACCCUAAACUUUCUCAAAAUUUCACUUUGACCCCUAAAUUUUCUAGAAAUUACAUGUUGGCCCUAUAUUUUCCUAAAAUUACAUUUUUACCCCAAAUGUUUUACGUCUUCUACAUUUUGGUCCUUCUGGGCAUGUCAGACCCCCCAAUCAGCAGUCGAGCGUGCUUCCCCUCACCUCCAGCUACUCCGGCAGAUGGCCUAGGCCAUGAUGCCCUCCUCUGCCACCUGAAGACAAGAAGAAAGAGGACAAAAAAUGAAGAGAUUAAAAAAGGAAAAUCAAAAGAGAGAGAGGAGCAUUCGGCAACCAAAGAAAAAAAGCAGAAAAAAAUUAAAAAAAUAAAAACAGCAGCAAAAACUCUCAAAUCGGUCGAUCCCGCACUCACCGCAACCGCACCCACGCCACCACGACCGCCGCGCCACGACCAUCGUUGCUCCCCACCGAAGUCAAGCCAAGAAACGAGCAAGCAUAAACAAAAGAAAGAAAAAACAGUAGCAAGAAAAAAAAGCAAAGAAGAAAGAAGAGAAGAAAGAAGAAGAAGAGAUGAGGGAAAGGAAAACGCCGUGACCAACGCCACCGAACGGAGGAGUCGACGGCAGCAGUGAACGACAGGGGAGAAACAGCGGCGGGCUAGGUUUCCAAAGAGGAAGAAGAAGAAAAAUAGAAAGAAAAAAGAAAAAAUAAGAAGAAAAGAAAAGAAAAAAAAGAAAAAGGAAAAAAAUAAUAAAGAAUAAAAAACAGCAGCAACAGAUUAGUGCAGAAUCAGCAGGCUGAUCCAGCAGCAGAAGCCCAAGACAGCAGGCCCACAACCCGCAGCAGGCCACUGCCCAGCCCAACUCCCAGCAGCUCCAGCAGGUUAGCUCCAGCAGCCCCAGGCCCAUUCCAGCAGCAGGCCAGCACCCAGUCCAGCAGUCCCAGGCCCGUUCCAGCAGUAGGCCAGCAGUCAACCCAACGCCCAGCGGCCCAAUCUGCAAAAAUAAAAAAUAAAAGAGGAAAAAGAAAAGAAAAAGAAAAAAGGAAAAAAGAGAAAAGAAAAAAAAACAAAAAGGCCCGAGGGCUUUUGGUAAUCUUUUUAUCCUCGUUUUAAAUUAAUCCGUACAUUUAAUUAUUGUUUCAUUUCAAUUUAAUUAGUAUUUUUAAGUAGCAUAUUUAGAAAUAUUAUCACAUUUAUUUUACUUGCAUUUUUAAAAUUAAAAAAUAUUUUAAUGCACAAGGCAACGAACUGAUUUAAUAUUAAGUCAUCAAAUUCAUCGCUAUGUUGGGUGAAUAUCGAUGGCUCGUGUUAAAUACGGGACGCCCUUUUUAAAAAAAAUGAAAAUAUUCAAAAAUUCUCGUGUUUUAAAAAAAAUUCUCGUGUUUUAAUAGGAUCACGAUUAAAUAUUAAAUUCAAUCGGUUUGACACUAAUUCUUCGAUUUCAUUGCCAUGUCGGGGUGAAUAUCGUCGAUUCGUGUUAAAUACGAUAUGUUUUUUAGAAAAAAUUCCCGUGUUCAAAAAUUUCGAGUUUUAAGAAAUUUUGAGUUUUAAAAAAAAAAGAAGAGAAUUUUGUGUUUUGAAAAAAAUUUAUCGUGUUUUUUUAAAAAAAAACACGUGCUUAAAAAAUUUUCGUGUUUUCAAAAAAUGUUCCGUGUUUCAAAUUUUCGUGUUUUUAAAAAUUUCUCGUAUUUCAAAAUUUUUGACUUUUUGCGUUUUCAAAAAAAAUAUUUUCCGCGUUUCAAAAAAUUCUCGCAUUUCAAAAACUUUCGUGUUUUUUUUAAGAAAAUUUUUCGUGUUUCUAAAAUUCUUACGUUUUAAAAAAAUUCGUGCUUUCAAAAUUUUUCGUGUUAUAUAAAAAAUUCAUAUUUCAAAAUUCUCGUGUUUAAAAAAAAUUUCGUGUUUAAUCGGAUCACGACUAAAUAUUAAAUUGAACUCGUAUUUUGAAAAUUAAGACAAUAUGCAUUUAACGAGAUACCAAUUUUGGGCGUCGCGAGGGUGGUAAUACCUUCCUCGCACGUAACUGACUCCCGAACCAUAAUUUUCUCUGGAUUUUAACGUAGACCUAAAAUUACCUCUUUUUUAGAAAAGUUUUAAAAUAAAUUUUUCUUCUAAAAAGAGAAUUUUGAAGGUGUCCGAUCACACCUAGAAAAAAGAUCAGUGGCGACUCCCUUUUUAAAUAAAAUCACAACUCUGUUUUUAAAUUUUCAAUAAUUACUUCAACUAGCGCCCGUGCCACAAAUUUUAGGUCGCUACAGCUGGCGACUCCACUGGGGACAAAUGUAAGAGUCGAGUCUGAUGUUAAACGCGUGUUGUCAAAAUUUUUAAAUUUCCUUGUUCAAAUUAAUUUUUAAUCAUGAUCCUUGAAUUUUAUUUUUGAAAAAAAAUCAUGUAUCUGCAUUCGGUUUUUAAAUUAAUGUUUUUCUAACUCGUUUUAUUUUUCUUUGUUUUUAGCUUUAAGUCUUAUGGUUUUAGUUUGUUUCUUAGUAAAAAUAAAAAUAAAAAGGUUUGUGAGUUUCUCCCCACACACCGUGCACUUGCAUUCUUGCAUAAAUGAGCUCUCUACCCGGGCUCCGUCCGUUUAAGUGGAAGUAAACGCUACGCCUUCGUGAGUUAACUCGUCCCUCCGCACAGGCUAGUGAAAUACUUCCGGGUUACAUAUGACUUAUGCUUUCGUGAGUUAACUCGUCCCUCCGCAUAGGCAUAAGUAAAUGUAAUCCCUCGAAUUGAGCUCGUGAGCCUGUGAUGGGUGAUGACCGAGGCUCCAUACUAACCUUAGUAGGUGACAGCAUGGACAAUUCGAGUACCUUUCUAGAACCAAAACCACAUAUAGUGAACCGUACGAGCCACCCAAUUAGAGCCACGCCGAACCUCUGUCCGUUUGAUAGUUACCAAAAUAAGUACACGGGAGAAACGUCUCUUACCUUUUAUUUCUUUUACAUUUACACUUAUUUACAAAUAAAUUGAGUCUAUUUAAUAAAUUGGGUCCGGUAGAUUGUUUGAUGAUAUGUGGGGUAUGUUUUUAUAAAGCAAGUUGGGGCAAAACAAAAAAAAAAAACAAAAAAAAAAUGUAGGUCUAUUCCUCCAAAUUGCAUGAUUGAAUAGCUUAAUUUAUUAAAUUUUCCAUGGUCUUUAUUUUUCUUUUUUUUCUUCUAUUUAUAUCUGUUGUGAUCUCUAACUAAAGUUAUUUGUUCUUCAUUUUAUUUUUCAUCAUGCAUUAUAGACAUUUUGUUAGGAAGGUGUUGAUUAAAGAUUGGUUGCCAAAAACGGGUUUCUGAUGGAGGAGUCAAUUACACGAGUAACCGAGAAAAAUGCUGUAGUCCGAGAUUGGUCUUUGAGAACUCAGAAAGCGAAAGGGGACAGUUUGAAGGAAGGAUACACCUCUGAUCUUCCCGAGCGUGUGACCUCGAAUGUGCGUCAGAAUGAUCUUGAAGACUUGACAAGGAUUUGGAAACAGUGGGACUCAGAUACUAAAGGCAUAUUCACUGAAAAGUAUGGGGAUAUAGCUCACUUGAUAGCAAUCGAUGUGAACGAGCAGUUGAUCCAAGCCAUGGUUCGUUUCUGGGACCCAGCCUAUUAGUGUUUCACUUUCAAUCAGGAAGACAUGACUCCGACCAUAGAAGAGUAUGCCGCUUUACUUCGCAUUGAAGAUGUACAAUUCAACAAGAUAUAUGUGAAGGAGCCUAAACCAAUGACCUUCAAGAAAAAGCUAAUGAAGUUGACGGGGAUGACUGAUACAUGGGCUGAAAAACAGAUAAAGAAGAAGAAUGAAGUCAGUUGUGUUCCGUGCUUUUCUCUUCGGGAGUUAGUUCAGAAUCAUACAAAUGUUUUGAAAAGAGUAGAUUUGUUUGCCUUGGCCGUUUACGGACUGGUCGUCUUCCCGAAAGUUUUUGGGCAUAUUGAAGCUGCGGUUGUGGAUUUCUUCGAAAAGUUGAGGCAAAGAAUCAACCCGGUCCCAGCCAUCUUGGCUGAGACUUUUAGAUCUCUAAAUGCUUGUAGGAGAAAAGGGGGAGGACGUUUCAUCGGAUGCGCUCAGUUACUUAAUGUUUGGAUUUUUAGCCACUUUUGGAAGGUGGAGCGCACACCUUUCCAUAUGUUCUCAACAAAUUUUGCUCCAUUAGAAGCACACCUUGAAAAGGAUUGGCCAAGGGAUGUCACUGAACAACACUGGGUCUCGGUUUUUCAGAACCUCCGUGCUGAAGAUAUAACUUGGAGAGCACCUUGGAUUCGCCCCUCUGUCUUGUUAUACAAGUGUGAGAACCAAGACUGGGUACCUUUGCUGGGAUUAUGGGGAGGAGUUGGAUAUGCUCCGUUGAUGGUUUAGAGACAGUUCGUUUCGCGACAAUUUGUACCAGUUACUGAUGGAUUGGCACAAUCGGAGUUUGCCUUUACGGGUGAGGGUUACAUGAAAAGGGUGCGAGAUACCGGGAAUUCUUGGAGGAAAAUUUACCUAAUGGAGUUGGCUCUAUAUGCUGAUACUAUCACUAUAGAUUGUGACAUAUAGAGGCAACGACGAGUGAAGAGCCAACUAACCCUGCCGAUUGACGUUGCUUGCAAGAAUCCGUUCUCAGAGGAAAUACCGUCCGAGCUAGAAUUGGCAAGACAUGAAUUUGAACGUGAAAAAGCCAAACUGUUACGAGAUAUUAGUUCCCUUGGAAAACUACCAGCUAAAGAUUGAGGUUCAAAUUGAAAAAUCCAGAACCGAGAAAGUCCAAAAAGAAGUUGAGGUCACGAGAAAGGAUUUAAGGGACCUUCAUUUGAAAAAUAAGAAAUUAAGAGGCACUAUAAGAAAUAGUGGAUUGGGCAAAUCAUCAGCAGAAUGGAAGGAGGAACUAAGUAAUAUCAAAGGUGGGAUGGAGUUCUGGAAAGCCAAAGCGAAGAAAGAAGAGGAAAGAGCUGCACGUGCUAUGAUAGAGUUGAGGAAGAAGAAUGUUGAAUACGAAACUGUGUCUGUAGAACUAACAGCUAGUCAGUCCGAGCAUCAAGAGCUAAAAGGAAAAAUUUGAAGUCUAGAAAGUAUACUGCAAGCUCAUCAGCAACAUUUGGAUGACCUCCUGAGAGCUUUAGAAGAGAAGAAUGGUCAGCAUGACAGAGACAUUCGCGCCUAUGAAAGAGCCCUCCAAGAAAAGGAUAUGCAUCUCGACAGUUUGAUUAAUGAAAUUCGUAAAGCGGCUGCGCAUGUAGUACAAUUAUCAGAUGAAGCGGAAGUUCUCAGUUGUCAAUACCCUCCUAGCCAAAGAUCAAGCAUAUCAGAGUUCCUGGAACGUAUAAAGAAACAAGGCGAUGUGGCUAAGAAGUUUGUAUAACUGUUAAAACUAAUAUGUCAAAACUUUUUGUAACGGACUCUUUUGAUAAAUGAAACGCCCAAGUAUGGGGCCAUUUUGGAAUCAACACCUAUUUUUGCAUAUUUACACAUGAUUAACAUUCAUUAGUUAUUCAUUCAUUUAUUCAUUGCAUGCUCAUAUCACCCUAAUCAUUCGCUAAGGUUAAAACCAUCUAAUCCACAAUUACUACACUCCGAGUCUGGAAUCACGUCACUCUUAUAGGACGCGCUUAAGAGCUAGAGCUAUGGAUGUCGAACUCAAUGAAAGGAUGGAAAUGAUGGAAAGAACCCAAAGAGAGUUGAAAGAGCAACUGACCAAGUCGCAGCAAGAGGCGAGAGAUUUGAUGGUGAGAUCUCAAGAGGAAUCACUCAAGCAAAGGGAUCAAAUGGCCAAGAUGAUGGAAAUGAUGACGGCAUUGGUCAAAGGAAAAGGACCUAUGCAGAGCCCUGAUAUCGUAGAACCGCCUCAGUCAAGAGCUACUCAAUAUCCACUUUAUCCCCCAAGAUUCACUCCACCUCAUAUCCACGCAAUGCAAAGAGGAUACCCCCAAAGGGAACCUACAGUCCUGGAACAAUCUCCUGUUCCAUCUGCUUAUCUAGGGCAAGGAAUGUUUGUAUCGAACCCUGGGGCUAAUCCCUCAGAUCCAAUUGUUCCAGACUUAGAUGAUCCUGUAGAAGUAGCAAGGCUGAGAAUUGAUGACAAUAAUGCUCAGGAUAAGUAUAGAAUUUUGGAAGAAAGGAUCAAGGCAGUAGAAGGUGCUGAAGUUUUCUCUGCUUUGAGUGCCAAAGAGCUCAGUUUGGUACCUGAUCUGGUUCUACCCCCAAAAUUCAAGGCACUAGAUUUUGAGAAGUAUGAUGGAAUAAAAUGUCCAAAGGCGGAUCUUAUCAUGUUUUGCCGAAAGAUGACUGGCUAUGUGAAUGAUGAUAAAUUGCUGGUACACUACUUUCAGGAUAGUUUGGUUGGCUCGGCUCUUCGAUGGUAUAAUCAGCUCAGUAGAGAGAGAAUCCGAUCAUGGAAGGAUUUGGCGUCAGCAUUUUGUGAGCAAUAUAGGCAUGUAUCGGAUAUGGUGCCUGAUCGAUUAACUUUACAAAUGAUGGAAAAGAAGCCUACAGAGACUUUUAGGCAGUAUGCACAAAGAUGAAGGGAUAUCUCGGCUCAGGUAGAACCUCCGUUAACUAAGACGGAGAUAACGGUCCUCUUUAUCAACACUCUGAAAGUGCCGUUUUACAAUAAGUUUGUGGGGAGUGCCACAAAAGACUUUGCAGAUAUUGUAAUAUCUGGGGAGCUUAUUGAAAAUGCCGUCAAAAGCUGGAGAAUGGAAGGCCCCGAGGGUUCGAAGAGGGCAGUACCCGUAAAGAAAAAAGAGGCAGAGGCCCAUAUGGUUGGAACCGAGAACCACUGUGCCCCCAAUUCGUAUCCUGCCCAAUCACGACCUCAUUAUCGCCCACCUUCAAACUUCUACUUUCCUCCUUAAGGUCCUUACUAUCAAGCACCUCCGUCUUACCCCGUUUAUGCUAUGAAUAGCCAAAGACCAUUCACCGUGUUCCCACCAAACACCAUGCCUACACAAAGCCAACCCAAAAAUGACCAAAGACCAAUAAGACCCAAUCCUGAAAGACCUCAGUUUACACCAAUUCCUGUAUCAUAUGGAGAAUAAUACCCGAAGCUGUUGGAAAAACAAUUAAUAUCCCCACAUUAUAUGGCACCCCUGAAACCCCCGUACCCAAAGUGGUAUGAUCCUAACGCGAGCUACGUAUAUCACGCUGGGAAUCAGGGACAUUCUACAGAAAACUACCUUGCCUUUAAAAGGAGGGUUCAAGGUCUCAUUGAUGCUGGUAUUCCGCGAUUCGAUGGUGUUAGCAAUGUGAUGGGAAAUCCUCUUCCUAACCAUACUGGCGGGAAUAUAAAUGCAGUGACAAAUGAAGACAAUUGGCAAGCCAAAGGUUAUGUUACCAAAGUAAGGACACCUUUGCGGAAGGUGUAGGAGAUGAUGAUUGAAAAUGACUUGCUCUGCCCGCCUAGUAGGAUUCUCAAAGAAGAAAGUAAAAAGGACCAGAGUUUCUGUGAUUUUCAUGGCAUCGAAGGGCAUGACAUCCAAUCUUGCAGGGAAUUUAGAAAAUUACUUCAGGACAUGAUGGAUAACUAGGAGGUCAAAGUCUUUGAUAGUGUGGAAGGGGCCGAGAAAGGAGAAAUAUGUGUCUCUGAUAAUCAAUCGAUGGCUUCCUCUUAUAGCGUCGAUAGACCUUUGGUGAUUUAUUACGAGGCAAAGAAGGAAGAAGUUAGUCAAGAAGUUAAACCAAGUUUGAUAAUCGAAGUACCUACUCCUUUCUCUGAUAAGGACAACAAGGCAGUGCCCUGGAAGUAUGAUGUCAAUAUCGUUGUGCCUAAAGGUGAAAAGUUAAAAGUUAUGAAUGAAGAUGUCAGUGGAGUAGGACAUUUCACUCACAGCGGAAGGUGUUAUUCUCCCGAGACGGUUGAACCAAAGAAGAAGGCUGCUGGCUCGAGCCAAAAAGGAAAAGCACCAAUGUAUGAAGUUGAGGAUGAUGUUGAAACACAACUUGAGCAAUAAGUUAAAAAGGCUGUGAAUGAGGAGGAAGCACAUGAGUUCUUAAAGUUUAUUAAGCACAGUGAAUAUAGCGUUGUGGAACAAUUAAACAAGCAGCCGACCUGAAUCUCAGUACUAUUUCUAUUGUUGAAUUCGGAGCCCCAUCUAAAAGUGUUAAAUCAAGCUUAUGUGGCGAACAAUGUAUCUGUGGAAAAGCUUGAUAGGUGGGCAAAUAAUAUGAAUGCAGAUAAUUUCAUCUCUUUUAGUGAUGACGAAAUACCGCCAAAUGGUAGGGGCUCCGUAAAAGCAUUGCACAUCACAACCAAUUGCAAGGGCUACAUAUUACCAAAUGUGCUUAUCGAUAAUGGAUCUGCACUUAAUGUUAUGCCUUUGGCCACACUUUCUAGGAUGCCGGUUGAUAUGUCCUACCUGAGGCAUUGCCAUUCUAUAGUAAGGGCAUUUGAUGGGACACGGCGAGAGGUCAUGGGAAAAAUCGAAAUUCCUCUAAAAGUGGGGUCAUGUGCAUAUGAUAUCGAGUUCCAGGUCAUGGACAUCACGCCUUCAUACAAUUGCCUUUUAAGAAGACCUUGGAUCCAUUCUGCUGGGGCAGUUCCUUCGUCUCUCCAUCAAAAAGUAAAGUUCAUCAUGGAUAGCCGCUUUUGUUGAGAAGCGAAGAUGGUGAGGAAGACAUUAUCGCAUCUAUCUCUACUGAUGCACCCUACAUCAAAAUAAGCGAAGAUGCUGUAGAAUGUUAUUUCCGCUCUUUGGAAUUUAUCAAUGCUGCAUUUGUUGCUGAAGGGAAUAAGAUCCCCAUUCCCAAACUAUCAAGGAAUACCAAGAUGGGAAUUAAGUUGACUGUGGGAAAAGGAGCUCGGACGAGGAAAGGUUUGGGAAAAUAUCAACAAGGGAUGGUUAGAGCUUUGAAACCGCACCACAAAGGUCGAUAUGGUUUGGGGUUCAAGCCAGAUAUACAUCAAAGAAGAAAACAAUUGCAGAAAGAUCGAGAAAGAAGAAUUGCGAGAGCUUCAGGCCGGGAAUUAGAAUGGGAGCCGUUGGCGUAUCCUCUUUUUUCAAGAACGUUCACAUCAGCAGGGGUGAUAUACCCAGGGCAGGACAAUCCGCAAGUCACAUUAUUGAUUGAAAAGGGUCUUCAGAAUAUCAGCCUAAAUGCUAUUGACAAUGAAAAUGAUGAAAUUAAGAAUGCUUCAAUGAUACGCCCUUGUCCUCCAGGAUAUGUUUUGAACAACUGGACUGCUGUGGACCUCAUUGUAGUUUUUAAGUCCCCUUCAGAGUAAUGCUCAAUGUUAACCCUUCAUUUUGUGUGUCCUUAAACAGUAGGGUUCCUUUUGUAAGAGCUUAUGUUUGCUCUUUAUCAUUUCAAUGAUCAUUAAUGAAGAUGCAUUUUGUUUUAUAUUGUCAUGUUCUUUUCACUUCCAUUAACUUCGCGACUACUCCUAUUCAUAUCCUUUUCCGGCAUAUGUCUCAUAUCAUCUCAUAUCAUUGUGUGUUGGUUCCAAUACCUCAAUGCUCUUUUAUAGCUUUUUUUUUCAUUCACCUUUCAGGUGCUCAGAUAUCAAUGGCAUGAAUAAUCCCGUCAUGAAUCCUGAAAUCAAUUUUGAGAAGGCUGUUUGUUUAGGAGAAUUCGAAGCUGACGAAAAUGUUGAAGAUUGUGUCUCGUCUCCUGACUUACUGAGAAUGGUAGAACAAGAAGAGAAACAGAUCCUACCCCAUCAAGAAUCUGUUGAGGUAGUGAACUUGGGGAAUGAAGAAAAGAAACAAGAAGUGAAGAUUGGGACUUCCAUUUCAGAAAACACCAGGCUGGAUUUGAUCGCCUUGCUCCAUGAGUACAAGGAUGUGUUUGACUGGUCUUAUCAGGAUAUGCCAGGGUUGAACACAGAUAUUGUGGUCCAUAAGCUCCCAUUGAAACCAGAAUGCAAGCCCGUUCAGCAGAAAUUAAGAAGGAUGAGACCCGAAAUGCUGUUAAAGAUAAAAGAAGAAGUUAAGAAAUAAUUUGACGCUGGCUUCCUACAAGUCUCCAAGUAUCCAGAAUGGGUAGCUAAUAUAGUCCCAGUGUCGAAGAAAGAUGGCAAGGUGCGAAUGUGCGUGGAUUAUCGUGAUCUGAAUCAAGCAAGCCCUAAGGAUAACUUUCCUUUACCACACAUCGACACUUUGGUGGAUAAUACGGCAAAGCAUUCUCUAUUUUCUUUCAUGGAUGGCUUCUCAGGUUAUAAUCAGAUAAAGAUAGCUCCCGAGGACAUGGAGAAAACUACAUUCAUAACAAUGUGGGGAACCUUCUGCUAUAAGGUAAUGCCAUUCGGACUAAAGAAUGCUAGGGCAACGUAUCAGAGAGCCAUGGUAACGUUGUUCCAUGAUAUGAUGCACAAAGAAAUAGAAGUUUAUGUCGAUGAUAUGAUUGCCAAAUCUCGGGAAGAAAGAGAGUAUGUUGGGAGUCUUAGGAAGCUGUUUGAAAGAUUAAGAAAGUUCCAGUUGAAGCUUAACCCGGCCAAAUGUACGUUUGGGGCUACCUCAGGAAAACUGCUAGGGUUCAUUGUCAGUGAGAGAGGUAUCGGAGUUGAUCCAGAUAAGAUAAAAGCUAUACAAGAACUGCCUCCCCCGCGCACACAAAAGGAAGUCAGAGGAUUUUUAGGAAGGUUGAAUUACAUUGCUCGAUUCGUUGCCCAACUUACCAAUCAGUGUGAUCCAAUUUUUCGACUCCUCCGAAAACAUAAUCCGGGAGAAUGGAACGAUGAGUGUCAAGUGGCUUUCGACAAGAUAAAACAGUAUCUAUCUAAUCCUCCGGUACUAGUACCGCCAACCCCUGGAAAACCCUUAAUAUUAUACCUGACCGUGUUUGAAAACUCAAUGGGUUGCGUACUGGGACAACAAGAUGAGUCAGGGAAAAGAGAAAAAGCGAUUUACUACCUCUGCAAAAAGUUCACAGAAUAUGAGGCAAAGUACCCGUCAAUUGAAAAAUUUUGUUGUGCAUUGGUCUGGGUAGUUCGAAGGCUCAGACAAUACAUGUUGUAUCAUACAACGUGGUUAAUUUCAAAGCUAGAUCCAUUAAAGUACUUGAUUCAAUCACCUGCACUCUCAGGGAGAAUGGCACGAUGGCAGAUCCUAUUAACUGAAUAUGACAUUGUAUAUGUGAGCCAAAAAUCGAUAAAGGGAAGCGCGAUAGCUGAUUUCUUGGCAAGUCGAACAGCAGAAGAAUACGAGCCUUGUCAACUUCCUUUGUUUGUUGCUUAAAAAAAAUGAAAUGAAUGUGAGGUAUUUCUUUCAUGCCUACUUUGUCUUUUUUUGCAUCUCGUGCUUUAUUCAUUUAAAUGAUAAAUAGUAAGAUGACAUAUUCUAAACAAAAUGAAUGUUGAGCAUUACCUGGAUGAGAAUUUAAUAAGUACGAGGGCCCCAAAGCAAGAACAAAGUUCAACAGGGGGCAAGAGAGUGAUAUACAAAGAAAUGUAGAUCACUUGCAAAACUUGAAGAUGAGUACAGAACCUGAAAGAAGGUCAAGAAUGGAGGCGAUGAAUGAAGACCCUCACGAAAGUCAGAAAGGGUCAUGUGACAAACAACCAAGAAUGCAUGGCAUGAUCAUGUAGACCUAAAAGCAUUUAGGACAAACAUGUGCAUAUCAUAAUAACAUCAUACAUGACAUAUACAGGUAUACCAAUAGAGCAAGGAAUUUUGGAAAAAAGCUGCCAGAAUCAACGAAGAAGAAGGUUUUUUAGUUUCACUUGAUGUUUUUGAAACCCUGUUUCUUUCAAGAAUUAUAUUUUUCAAUUUCUGUUUUUCAAAAAAAUCAGCUCAUAAUGCGAGAGGUGAGUUGAGCCUUGGGCCGCACGCCGAGGUAUUUUCAAUUUCUGUUUUUCAAAAAAAUAAUAAAAAAAUCAAAAAUCAAUCAACUCAUAUUCCGAGAGGUAAGUUGUGUAACAGCCCGAUUUUGGGUCUAGGUGGAACAGUGGUUCGGGACCACAAAUCUGACGAGGAAAUUUUAUUUUAAAAUUAUGACAUGGGUUGCAUUAUGAUAAGAAGGCUGCAUGAAAAUAUUGAUAUGAAAAUUUUAUCGAAUUAGUGAUUAAUUAAGGAAAUGACCUAUUUGUAUAAAAUGUAGAAUUUGAAUUCUAGAAGCUAGAAGGGUUAACUAGCUAUGAAAUUGUAAUAUCCCGAAAAUUUCUAUAGUAAGAAAGUAAGAUAAUAUCCCUGAUAUGGUAAAUUAAGGAAAUAAAAUGAUAAAAAGAGUAAUUGAGUUAUGUCAACAUUGGAACGUAUAUUAUGACAUAUUAAUUCAAGAAAGGAUUAAAUUGCAAAAGUGAGAAAAGUUUUGUUGCCUAAGAGUAAAUACUCAAAAAUUAAGGGGCUAAAGUAUAAAUAUGAAAAAGUUGAAGGACCAAUGGUGUAAAUAUUUUAAGGGUGGCCUGUUUUCCAAACUAAGGAAAAUGGACGGCUUAGGACCAUAUUGAAAAAGGUGAAGAAUUUUGAGGGACUAAAUUGUAAUUUUACCAAAUUAAGUGAUGACUCAAGGAUGGAAUUUUAAAAGAUCGUAAAGGGCAAAAUGGUCAAUUAGAAGAGAGAGAAAUCUAGAAGAUAAUGAUGAUGUUGGAGAUAUUUUAUAUUAAUUAAAUAAAUAUUAGUUUAUUAGUAUUUUAAUUUAAUUUUUAAAUGAUAUUUUAUUAUUUUAAUAUUAUUCUAUUUAGUAUAUAUAUAUAUAUGGAAGGAAAUAUGAAGAAUCAUCAUCUUCCCCAUGCAUUCCAACAUAUGAAGAGAAGAAAAAGAUAGAACUUUCUUUUCUUUACAAUUUGGUCCUUCCACCAAAAAUCUACCAUUCCACCUAGAAAUCAAAAGAGUUCGGUAGCCAUCAAGAGAGAAAGAUAACAAGGAGACUAUGGGGAGAUAGAAUAUCAAGUUAGAUUCAAGAAAUAGAAGCUGGAGGAGAGAGAAAAUCAAGUUAAAGAUUGAAAUCAAUUGAGCAAGGUAAGAACAUCAAGAUUUCAAAAUAUUUUUGAGUUUGAUAUUAUUGAAAAGGUAUGAAAUUGAUGUUAAUGUAGAGUUUUAUUAUAUAAGGUUUUAUGUUCUUGGUAUGUUAGUGAAGAGAAAAUAAGAGAAAGUGAUGAGAAAUAGUGUAGAGAAAGAAAAUAAGAGUGUUAUAAACUUAGUAAUCAAUAUUUUGCACUAAAACAGUUUGGACAGCAGCAGAAGGUCAACUUUGAAAAAUCACCAAAAAUUGUGGGAAUUGAAUUAGAAUAUGAAUAAAUUAUGAAAUUAAAUAUUAUUGAGUCUAGUUUCUCAUAGAAGAAACGGUGUAAGCAAUAGAAUUGUAAAUCAUGAGAUAUAAUAGGUUUUGUGAGUUAAGGUCAGAAUGAUUUCGGGUUCCCCUGUACUGAAUUUGGAAAAUCAUAAAAAAUUGGAGAAAAAUAAUUAGAGGCUUAAAUUUAUAUUUUUAAAUCCUUAAUGAGUCUAUUUUCAAUAGAAACAAACGGUAACAUCAUUCGAAUUCUGUACAAAGAGAUAAUUAAUUGUUAGUGAAGAAGGGUCGGAACUGUCAGACAGCAGAACAGGGAUGAAUUUAAAGAAUAAACUGUAUUUAUUCGCUAAACAAAAAAUUAUGAAAAUUUUAUGUCAAGAAGAUAUGUGAGUCUAGUUUCAGGGAAAAUUAACGGAUCUUAAUUUGGAUUUCUAUAGCUCAAGAUAUAAAUGAUUUAGUGACUAUGACUCAAAUGGACAGCUUUGAAUAAAUUUACAAGAAAAUAGUGAAAUUAUAGAUAAUGUUAUUUAUAGCAUGUUAUGUAAAUUAAGGAUGUGGAAUGGAGAGGAGGAGGAGGAAAAUAAAUGUAUGAAUAUUAUGUUAGCAUGGAUUUGCAUUUCAAAUGGUUAAUUUGCAUGAUUUGGGCUCAAGGACUAAAUUGAACAAAUGUGAAACUUUAAGGGUAAAUUUGUAAAAAUGUCAAAGUGACCAAAUUGUUCAUGAAUUAUUUUAUUAUUUAAAUUAGUAAAUUGAAUGAAAUAUUAAUUUAGAUCAAGAUUUGGUGGAAAUUCGAGAAAAUAGAAAAUUACCAAAAUGUCCCUAAAUUUUGGUAUUUCUACAAUUUAGCCUGGUAAGUUCGUAUGAACUAUAUUUUGUAUAAUUUUAAUUGGAGAGAAUGCUAUUUGGUAAUGAAUAUUAUAUAGAUAUGUGAUUUAUUAUUGUAAUUGAAUUAUUAUUGGUAAUAUGACAAUUAUUAGAUGUAUUGAAAUGAUUAUCGGAAUCUCGAUUGUGUUGGUAGGAAAUGUUGCAUUAUUUAUAUUGUGAAGAACUAUAAAAGCAUGUUAAUAAUUUGAAAGUUUUUAAUAAUUAAUGAAAUUUUAUUACUCGAUUUAAAAUGUUUACAAGUGUAUGUUUCAGUAAUGCCUCGUACCCUAAUCCAGCGUCGAAUACGGGUAAGGUGUGUUACAAGUUGAGCCUCGGGUCACAUGCCGAGGUAUUUCUUUUAAAUUUCUGAUUUUCAAAAAUCAACUCAUAUUGCGAGAAGUGAGUUAAGCCUCGGGUCACAUACCGAGGUAUUUCUUUUAAAUUUCUGUUUUGUUUUUUAAAAAAAAUAAAUCAACUCAUAAUCCGAGAGGUGAGUUGAGCCUCGUGUCACAUGCCGAGGUAUUUCUUUUAAAUUUCUGUUUUUUAAAAAUCAACUCAUAUUGCGAGAAGUGAGUUGAGCCUCGGGUCACGCUGAGGUAUUCUCAACUUCUGUUUUUUUUUAAAAAAAAUCAACUCAUAAUGCGAGAGGUGAGUUGAACCUCAGGUCACGCUGAGGUAUUUUCAAUUUAUGUUUUUCAAAAAAAAAAAUCAACUCAUAAUGCGAGAGGUGAGUUGAGCUUCGGGUCACAUGCCGAGGUAUUUUUUAAUUUUUGUUUUUUUCGAAAAAAUCAACUCAUAAUGUGAGAGGUGAGUUGAGCCUCGGGUCACAUGCCGAGGUAUUUUUUCAAUUUUUGUUUUUUUCAAAAAAUCAACUCAUAAUGCGAGAGGUGAGUUGAGCCUCGGGUCACAUGCCGAGGUAUUUUUCAAUUUUCGUUUUUUUUUUCAAAAAAUCAACUCAUAAUGCGAGAGGUGAGUUGAGCCCCGGGUCACAUGCCGAGGUAUUUUUCAAUUUUCUGUUUUUCAAAAAAUUAACUCAUAAUGUGAGAGGUGAGUUAAGUCUUAGGUCACGCUGAGGUAUUUUCAAUUUAUGUUUUCAAAAAAAAAAUUAACUCAUAAUCCGAGAGGUGAGUUGAGCCUCGAGUCAAGCUGAUGUAUUUUUAAUUUCUAUUUUUCAAGGGUCAACUCAUAAUCUGAAAAGUGAGUUGAACUUCGGAUCGCACACCAAGCUUUUUUCAAUUUCAGGCUUUCAAAAAAUAUAAAAAAUUGGACAAUCGAGCAAAAUUCAGUGCUUUUAAGUCUUUGCUCUAUCCCUGUUUCACAGCGAUGAGCAAAGAGGGGCAGCUGUAAUCAUUGAAUUUUGCCCAGUCAAAAUUUUGGGCCGGGUCGAUCUCGUAUGGGCCCAAUGAUCGGGCCCAUUAAGAUUUAAUUUUGGAAUUGUUUUAGCCCAUUUAAUUUUUGUUUUAAAUAUUAAUAAAAUAGUCAUAAUGAAAUUUUGAAAAAUGAAAAAAAAAACAAAACAAAAAAUAUAAAUUACAUUUUGGCCCCUGAACUUUUCUAAAUUACAUUUCAACCCCUAAACUAUUCUAAAUUACAUUUCAACCUCUAAACUUUCUCAAAAUUUCACUUUGACCCCUAAAUUUUCUAGAAAUUACAUUUUAGCCCUAUAUUUUCCUAAAAUUACAUUUUUACCCCAAAUGUUUUGCGUCUUCUACAUUUUGGUCCUUCUGGGCAUGUCAGACCCCCCAAUCAGCAGCCGAGCAUGCUUCCCCUCACCUCCAGUUACUCCGGCAGAUGGCCUAGGCCAUGAUGCCCUCCUCUGCCACCUGAAGACAAGAAGAAAGAGGACAAAAAAUGAAGAGAUUAAAAAAGGAAAAUCAAAAGAGAGAGAGGAGCAUUCGGCAACCAAAGAAAAAAAGCAGAAAAAAUAUAAAAAAUAAAAACAGCAGCAAAAACUCUCAAAUCGGCCGAUCCCGCACUCAUCGCAACCGCACCCACGCCACCACGACCGCCGCGCCACGACCAUCGUUGCUCCCCACCGAAGUCAAGCCAAGAAAUGAGCAAGCAUAAACAAAAGAAAGAAAAAACAGUAGCAAGAAAAAAAAGCAAAGAAGAAAGAAGAGAAGAAAGAAGAAGAAGAGAUGAGGGAAAGGAGAAUGCCGUGACCAGCGCCACCGAACGGAGGAGUCGACGGCGGCAGUGAACGACAGGGGAGAAACAGCGGCGGGCUAGGUUUCCAAAGAGGAAUAAGAAGAAAAAUAGAAAGAAAAAAGAAAAAAUAAGAAGAAGAGAAAAGAAAAAAAAGAAAAAGGAAAAAAAGAAUAAAAAAACAGCAGCAGCAGAUUAGUGCAGAAUCAGCAGGCUGAUCCAGCAGCAGAAGCCCAAGACAGCAGGCCCACAACCCGUAGCAGGCCACUGCCCAGCCCAAAGCCUAGCAGCUCCAGCAGGCCCAGGCCCGUUCCAGCAGCAGGCUAGCACCCAGUCCAUCAGUCCCAGGCCCGUUCCAGCAGCAGGCCAGCAGCCAACCCAACGCCCAGCGGCCCAAUCUGCAAAAAUAAAAAAAAGAGGAAAAAGAAAAGAAAAAGAAAAAAGGAAAAAAGAGAAAAGAAAAGAAAAAACAAAAAGGCC